rnacentral:lncRNA from 1 species
CUCUAUCCCUCGCCCGGGGCCGCCCUCCCUGCCGCUCCCUUAGGGGCUCUGCGACACCCGCCUCCGGGGGCGCCCCGCCCCCCGCCGCGCGUGCCUGGUUACGACAUGGCGCUAACGGCCCCUCCGGCCCGCCGAGCUCUGUUUUCUGCGGCGGCUUCGCUACUGCUGCUGGGGGCGGCGGACUAACCAUAAACAAAGCAACAGCCAAGGUAGUACAGAUCAGUCCAUUCAACAGCAGAAUGAAUGUGUGAGUCUUGUCAUAUGGGAAUACCUUAUUUUUACAAAAUUUCUAGACUAAGGUUCACAGAUUAACUGUGACCUUGUUAAUUAUUCUCUAUCAUAUAUAAAAAU